UACGUAGGGUGCAAGCGUUAAUCGGAAUUACUGGGCGUAAAGCGUGCGCAGGCGGUUGUGCAAGACCGAUGUGAAAUCCCCGGGCUUAACCUGGGAAUGGCAUUGGUGACUGCACGGCUAGAGUGUGUCAGAGGGGGGUAGAAUUCCACGUGUAGCAGUGAAAUGCGUAGAGAUGUGGGAGGAAUACCGAUGGCGAAGGCAGCCCCCUGGGAUAACACUGACGCUCAUGCACGAAAGCGUGGGGAGCGAACAGG
rnacentral:rRNA from 1 species